GGAGCUUGCUCCCGGAUGUUAGCGGCGGACGGGUGAGUAACACGUGGGUAACCUGCCUGUAAGACUGGGAUAACUCCGGGAAACCGGAGCUAAUACCGGAUAGUUCCUUGAACCGCAUGGUUCAAGGAUGAAAGACGGUUUCGGCUGUCACUUACAGAUGGACCCGCGGCGCAUUAUCUAGUUGGUGGGGUAAUGGCUCACCAAGGCGACGAUGCGUACCCGACCUGAGAGGGUGAUCGGCCACACUGGGACUGAGACACGGCCCAGACUCCUACGGGAGGCAGCAGUAGGGAAUCUUCCGCAAUGGACGAAAGUCUGACGGAGCAACGCCGCGUGAGUGAUGAAGGUUUUCGGAUCGUAAAGCUCUGUUGUUAGGGAAGAACAAGUGCGAGAGUAACUGCUCGCACCUUGACGGUACCUAACCAGAAAGCCACGGCUAACUACGUGCCAGCAGCCGCGGUAAUACGUAGGUGGCAAGCGUUGUCCGGAAUUAUUGGGCGUAAAGGGCUCGCAGGCGGUUUCUUAAGUCUGAUGUGAAAGCCCCCGGCUCAACCGGGGAGGGUCAUUGGAAACUGGGAAACUUGAGUGCAGAAGAGGAGAGUGGAAUUCCACGUGUAGCGGUGAAAUGCGUAGAGAUGUGGAGGAACACCAGUGGCGAAGGCGACUCUCUGGUCUGUAACUGACGCUGAGGAGCGAAAGCGUGGGGAGCGAACAGGAUUAGAUACCCUGGUAGUCCACGCCGUAAACGAUGAGUG
rnacentral:rRNA from 1 species